GGCUCUAUCACCACAGAUUGGAUACUCAAAUCUCCAACACACCAUUGACUCAAUGAGUCGAACAUAUCCCAAAAACGUAGCAUUUAGCUAUCACUCUCCAACACUCCAACAUAUCCCGGUGAAUGGAGCUGAGCUCACAUUCCCUUAUCUCUCCAAAAUUGUCCUGAGACUUAAUGCCCUAAAAAUACAACACAAGGGUGAGUACUCACAAAUCCUAUGGCAUG
rnacentral:lncRNA from 1 species